rnacentral:rRNA from 1 species
CCUACGGGGGGCAGCAGUCGAGAAUCAUUCACAAUGGGGGAAACCCUGAUGGUGCGACGCCACGUGGGGGAAUGAAGGUCUUCGGAUUGUAAACCCCUGUCAUGUGGGAGCAAAUUAAAAAGAUAGUACCACAAGAGGAAGAGACGGCUAACUCUGUGCCAGCAGCCGCGGUAAUACAGAGGUCUCAAGCGUUGUUCGGAAUCACUGGGCGUAAAGCGUGCGUAGGCUGUUUCGUAAGUCGUGUGUGAAAGGCGCGGGCUCAACCCGCGGACGGCACAUGAUAAUGCGAGACUAGAGUAAUGGAGGGGGAACCGGAAUUCUCGGUGUAGCAGUGAAAUGCGUAGAUAUCGAGAGGAACACUCGUGGCGAAGGCGGGUUCCUGGACAUUAACUGACGCUGAGGCACGAAGGCCAGGGGAGCGAACAGGAUUAGAUACCCUGGUAGUC